rnacentral:rRNA from 1 species
AUGGCAAAAGCACCCAUGGACACGCUUCAACUAGCCUGCAUCCAGAUAGCCAUAGCCUUGCUCUUGCUUACUCAAGCCAAGAGCACCACAGAGGACACAUCUGCCCUGCAUCCAAACGCUACAAUCACCAGUUGUAUUGCUGGCGAGAGGUCUUCCCUUCUCGCCUUCAGGGCAGGUCUAUCAGACCCUACCAACCUCCUUCCAUCAUGGAAGGGUGAUGACUGCUGCCGAUGGAAGGGCGUCUACUGCAGCAACAGAACCCGCCAUGUUGUCAGGCUCGAUCUCCGAGGCCCAGAUUACAGAAAUGGCAAUCAGAGCAGGCAGGUACUAGCAGGCAACAUAAGCUCCUCGUUGCUUGGUUUACAUCAUCUUCGGUAUCUCGACCUCAGCCAGAACAGGUUCGACAAGAAACAAAUACCGGAGUUCAUCGGUUCUCUCCAUCAGCUGAGAUAUCUCGACCUAUCAUGGUCACAGUUCACUGGAAGGAUACCACCGCAUCUGGGUAAUCUCUCCAACUUACAGUACCUAAAUCUUGACACCAACUCAUACGUGAGUGUUGAUUCUUCUUUCCAUAGUGGCACAUAUUCCACCGAUAUCACCUGGUUGUCACGGUUAACUUCCCUUGAGCACCUGGAUAUGACUGGGGUGAACCUCAGUACAAUUGUUCACUGGCUUCCGGUGGUGAACAUGCUUUCAAUUCUGAAAGUUCUUCAUCUUUCCGAUUGCCAUCUUAGAAGUAGCCCUGAUUCUCUUCUGCUCUCAAACCUGACAUCUCUUGAAACACUUGACCUCUCCGAAAACAAGUUACAUAAGCAUGGCACACCCAACUGGUUUUGGGAUUUAACUAGCCUCAAGUAUCUAGACAUCUCGUUCAAUGCUUUCUAUGGCCCGUUUCCAGAUGAGAUAGGUAAUAUGACCUCCAUUGUGGAGCUUAAUUUAGCAGAAAAUAACCUUGUGGGCAUGAUACCAUCCAAUUUGAAGAACCUAUGUAAUUUGGAGAGACUAUAUUGUUACUCGAACAAUAUCGACGGGAGUAUAACAGAAUUAUUCAACCGAUUACCCAGUUGUUCAAAGAAUAAACUACAGAAGUUGUUUUUACCGUACAACAAUCUGACUGGAAGCCUGCCAACUACACUAGUAGAGCCCUUGAGAAACCUGAGCUGGCUGGAUCUUUCUGAGAACAAACUCACUGGUCAUGUCCCGGUGUGGAUAGGAGAGCUCAAACAGCUAACGAGGUUGGUGCUUAACUCUAAUAACCUGGAUGGGGUCAUGCAUGAAAGCCAUUUAUCACGUCUAGCUAUGUUGAAGGAGUUGACAUUGUCAGACAACUCCAUUGCCAUCACAGUGAGUCCAACUUGGGUUCCCCCUUCCAGUCUAACAAUGAUUCUACUUGGGUCAUGCCAUCUAGGGCCUAAAUUUCCAACAUGGCUUAGAUGGCAAAAGAACUUGCAGAAUCUUGAUAUAUCAAACACAAGCAUAAACGAUAUAAUACCGGAUUGGUUUUGGACAGCAGCUUCCUCAGUAGAGUCUCUGAAUAUCCGAAAUAAUCAGAUUACAGGAUUCCUACCAUCAACAAUGGAAUUUAUGAGAGCAGAAGAAAUGGAUUUCAGUUCUAACCAGCUUGGUGGUCCAAUACCUAAGCUUCCCAUCACUCUAACCGACCUGGAUCUCAGUCGGAACAAUCUAGUUGGGCCACUACCAUUAGACUUUGGAGCGCCAGGGCUUGAAACACUUAUUCUGUAUAACAACAUGAUCUCUGGGGCCAUUCCAUCUUCUUUGUGCAAAUUGCGAUCAUUGCGGUUAUUAGAUCUAUCAAGAAAUAACCUCAAUGGAUCAGUUUCCGAUUGCCUAGUCAAUGAGUCCAGCACAAACAUGACAGAUCUGAGCAUCGUUAAUCUAAGCUUCAGAAACAACAACCUCUCUGGUGAAUUUCCUUCACUUCUUCAGAAAUGUCCACGACUCAUCUUUCUUGAUCUCGGACAUAAUCAAUUCUCUGGGGCUUUACCGUCAUGGAUUGGGGAGAAGCUAUCAUCCCUGUCAUUCUUACGACUGAGAUCCAAUAUGUUUUGUGGUCACAUUCCAGUCGAGCUUACGAAGCUUGUUGAUCUUCAGUAUUUGGACCUUGCCUACAAUAAUAUAUCAGGCAGCAUACCGAGAUCUAUUAUUACUUGGACAGGCAUGACACAAACAAGCGACAACUUUUUUGAUCUUGAGCAUGCGUUAACUUCUGGAAGUGAGGAUGGUGAGAGUCAACCAGUUGACUAUGCUGAGAAUUCCACGAUACUCACGAAAGGUCAAGAGAGAUUCUAUACAGGAGAAAUCAUAUAUAUGGUGAAUCUUGAUUUAUCCUGUAAUAGUCUUACCGGAGAGAUUCCUGAAGAAAUCAGCACUCUUAUGGAAUUGAAAAACCUGAACUUAUCAUGGAACAACUUCAAUGGAAAAAUCCCUGAGAAUGUUGGUGCCUUAAUGAAAGUGGAGUCACUCGACCUAUCACACAAUGAUUUGUCUGGUGAAAUCCCUUCAAGCUUAUCGGCUCUCACGUCAUUGAGUCGCCUGAACCUGUCCUACAACAAUCUGAGAGGAAAGAUACCAACUGGAAAUCAACUGCAAACACUCGAAGACCCAGCAUCUAUUUAUAUUGGCAACCCUGGCCUUUGUGGUCCUCCUCUCUCUGUAAAUUGUUCGUCACAGCCCGAGCCAAUUCCAGGAGAAAACCACGGAGAUGCAAGCGGCGACUUGGUUUCGUUUUUCCUCGCCAUGGGCUCUGGAUAUGUGAUGGGUCUCUGGGUGGUCUUCUGUACCUUCUUAUUCAAGAAGAGAUGGAGAGUUUCGUGGUACUCGCUCUGUGACAGCCUGUAUGAUUGGGUUUAUGUGCAAGUGGCUGUUACCUGGACUUCCUUCAGAGGUAAAGUUAAUGCAUAG